AGAGUUUGAUCAUGGCUCAGAUUGAACGCUGGCGGCAGGCUUAACACAUGCAAGUCGAGCGGGGGAAGGUAGCUUGCUACUGGACCUAGCGGCGGACGGGUGAGUAAUGCUUAGGAAUCUGCCUAUUAGUGGGGGACAACAUCUCGAAAGGGAUGCUAAUACCGCAUACGUCCUACGGGAGAAAGCAGGGGACCUUCGGGCCUUGCGCUAAUAGAUGAGCCUAAGUCGGAUUAGCUAGUUGGUGGGGUAAAGGCCUACCAAGGCGACGAUCUGUAGCGGGUCUGAGAGGAUGAUCCGCCACACUGGGACUGAGACACGGCCCAGACUCCUACGGGAGGCAGCAGUGGGGAAUAUUGGACAAUGGGCGGAAGCCUGAUCCAGCCAUGCCGCGUGUGUGAAGAAGGCCUUUUGGUUGUAAAGCACUUUAAGCGAGGAGGAGGCUACUAAGAUUAAUACUCUUGGAUAGUGGACGUUACUCGCAGAAUAAGCACCGGCUAACUCUGUGCCAGCAGCCGCGGUAAUACAGAGGGUGCGAGCGUUAAUCGGAUUUACUGGGCGUAAAGCGUGCGUAGGCGGCUUUUUAAGUCGGAUGUGAAAUCCCCGAGCUUAACUUGGGAAUUGCAUUCGAUACUGGGAAGCUAGAGUAUGGGAGAGGAUGGUAGAAUUCCAGGUGUAGCGGUGAAAUGCGUAGAGAUCUGGAGGAAUACCGAUGGCGAAGGCAGCCAUCUGGCCUAAUACUGACGCUGAGGUACGAAAGCAUGGGGAGCAAACAGGAUUAGAUACCCUGGUAGUCCAUGCCGUAAACGAUGUCUACUAGCCGUUGGGGCCUUUGAGGCUUUAGUGGCGCAGCUAACGCGAUAAGUAGACCGCCUGGGGAGUACGGGUCGCAAGACUAAAACUCAAAUGAAUUGACGG
rnacentral:rRNA from 1 species